GGUUUCAUAAUCGCCAAUACAUUUUAUUGUUAAACAACUUCUACUAUUUGAUGAUUGUCCUUUUCCUUUUUUAAGUUUUUCCAAAUUAUGAUAUUUUUUGGUAAUACCUUCUACUAAGGCAGUUAAGUAUGGGUCAAUAGAAAAAAUAAAAUAACAUAAUAUUAUACUAUCUUACCAAAUAAUAAGGAGGUUAUCUAAUAUGUGGUUUAGAAUUUUUUUAGAAGAAACUCUUAAUAAUUUUGUUCAAGUAUUAAAAGUGGGAUUUCAAUAAGUUUGUGCCCCUUGUCUAACUGGAUUUUCCAUGCGAUUUCUUGCCAAAAACCUAAAGCUGAUUUCCUAGAAAAACAAUAAUUAGAAAAAAUCCUAAUAAAGUUAUAGCUCCUAGAUCUAUAAAUUACAUUAGGCUUACUUAAAAAAAAAAAAAAUCUGCAGUGGUAAAUUGUAAUGCUCAAAUUGAACAUGUUGAAUUUAGUUUAGGUUCAUAUUUCAAUUUUAUAAUUUAACUAUUUACAUGUCCUGUAUGCUUUGUGAAUGACAGCUGUGCUGAAUUUGAAUUUAUCCAAGAGAUUGUUGAAGCGAUCUCAAAUUUUAAAUUAAAUCGGAUGCCAUUAUUUGUUGCUCAAUACCCUAUUGGAAUAAAUUCUUGUGUAGAGGCCAUAAUAUUGAAAUUAGAAAUUGGGUCAGAUGAUGUUCGUAUGUUAGGUAUGUAUGGCCUUGGUGGAGUGGGUAAAACAACCAUUGCAAAAGCAGUUUAUAACAAAAUAUUAGAUCAUUUCGAAGGAAGCAUGUUUUUGGAAAAUGUUAGAGACAAGUCAGGGACAUUUGAUGGCAUUAUUCAACUACAAGAGAUACUUUUUCAUGAGACCCUAGGGAUAAAUGGACAACUGAAGAUGGGCAGUGAAUCGAAAGGAACCACUGCGAUAGAGAACAUACUUUGCAAUAAAAGAAUUCUUCUAAUUCUUGAUGAUGUGGAUAAAUUAUACCAAAUAGAAAGAUUGAUUGGAGGAUGUGAUUGGCUUGCUUCUGGAAGUAGAAUAAUUAUAACAACAAGAAAUAAACAUUUCUUACAAACUUUAAGAAUACAUCAUUUGACUUACGAGGUUAAGGAAUUAGAGGAUCAUGAAGCUCUUGAACUAUUUAGUAUGCAUGCCUUUCAUAAAAACAAACCCGAUGAAGAUUAUUCAAAACUUACUGAUCAGGUUAUAUGUUAUGCCAAGGGCCUUCCAUUAGCUCUAUCAAUAAUUGGUGCCAAUUUGCAUGGAAGAAGUGAAAUGGAAUGGAAAAGUGCAUUAGAUAAGUACAAAAUGAUUCCUGACAAAGAUAUUCAAAAAGUACUCCAAGUAAGUUAUCAAGGAUUGGAUGAAACGGAGCAAGAUAUUUUUCUCGAUCUUGCAUGUUUCUUCAAGGGUCUUUACAAGGAUUAUGUUGUAGAUAUACUAAAUUCUUGCAAUCUAUACCCAAUUAUUGGUAUUAAAAAUCUUAUAGAUAAGUGUCUCAUAAUUGUUGAUCAAUUUAACAAAUUAUGGAUGCAUGACUUGCUACAACAAAUUGGUAGAGAAAUUGUUCGACAAGAAUCACCACAAAUACCUGGAUUACGUAGCAGACUAUGGUGUUAUAAGGAUGCUUUUGAAGUACUAACAGAAAAUAAGGGAUCUGAUAAUAUUCGAGGCAUAACGAUAAUCUCGCCUGAACCAACAAAGUUGCAACUAAAAGCUAACUGUUUUGAGAAGGUGGGAAAUCUCAAGUUCCUUUUGGUUAGUAACGUUAAUACUUCUGGAGAUCUUGAAUAUCUUCCCAAUGGAUUAAGGGUGCUUGAUUGGUCUAGAUUUCCUUCAUCUUCCUUACCAUCCAAUUUUCGUCCUCACAACCUUGUUGUACUUAACAUGCCACAAAGUCCCGUUAUAUUGUACAAGAUUUUCGAGAGUAUACAAUACAAAAGCUUGACAUAUAUGAAUUUCAGUUUUUGUCAAUACGUUAGAAAAUUACCGAACUUAUUGAGUGCCACCCCAAACAUAAAGGAAUUGAAUCUCCGUGAAUGUAAAAAAUUAGUCAAGGUUCAUGACUCUGUUGGAUGUCUUGCUAAGCUUGAAAGCUGGGACCUCGGCAAUUGCUAUAAACUUCGAAUUCUUCCAAGCUGCAUCUCAAUGAAGUCUCUUAAACUUUUAUGUCUUUAUCUGUGCGAAAGGGUUAAGAGGUUGCCUGAUUUUCCACAUGAAAUGAAAAAUUUAAAGUAUCUAAGUUUGGCACACACUUCCAUUAGAGAGCUUCCUCCAUCAUUUAGGAAUCUCACCGGGCUUGAGCGAUUAGAUUUUGGUUCCUAUUUCAAUUUGUGCCAUCUUCCAAGAAGCAUCGAUCAAUUGCAACAUCUUCGCAUACUCAAGCUUUAUGAAUAUGACCAUUUGCGACAAUAUUUAUCAAAUUAUGGUUUUCUAAGGUUGAAUUUUCUAAAAAAGUUGACUUCUUGUUUCACCCCCUCAAAGAAAUGUUUAUUAUCGGGGAGAGAAGGUUUGAGCCUCCAAGAAAGCAUUGUCAAAUUCAAUAGAUUACAAUAUCUUCAGAUUAGGGAUUCCAAGUUCCUUCAAAAAAUUCCAAAGCUUCCAGAAAGUAUAAGAAUAGUACGCGCAAUAAAUUGCAUUUCAUUGAGUUCAAAAUCAGUAAGAAAAUUAUUCCUUUAGUUUAGAAGAAAGUUAGAGGUUCCACAAAAUACAAAAUAUGAAGACAACAUAUUAAUGGAUUCGCGUUCACAUCACAAAUUAUCGCAUCAAAUUGAUUACUCUUCCAAGAUUGAUUACUCUUCCAGGAUUGAUUUCUCCCUCUCCCUCUUCAAGCCCUCACGCACUCUACAUGCGUUUCUGAUGGAUUAUACGAGGGGCUAUGGAGAGUCAUAUAAUAUUAUAGUAACAGGAAAGAAGAUUCCAAAGUGGUUCAACCAUCAAAGUAUUGAAAGUUCCAUAUCGUUUUGGAUUGGUACUAAAUUUCCAACAAUUGCGGUUUGUUUAGGUUUUCAUCUAGUUCCGUUGAAGGACAGUUAUGCUAAUAAUGAUAAGUACGGUUCUGUUCGUGAUGAUGUAAUCAGUUGGCAAUGUCAUGUCAACAUUUUCACCAACGGUCAUACGCAACCUUUCACGCUGCGGAGGAACUUUUACCAUAUUAAGUGUGAUCAUCUGUGGUCUUACGGUGUUUCUAAUAGCAAAUUACAACAGUAUUUCGGAAACAUGAUGCAAGGUGAUCGGAAUCUUGUUGAGGUUUCAUGUAAAAUCUCUAGGUGGAAUAGUAUAAAAGGAAAAUUCGCUCCUGUGAUUGCAAGGAUAGGGGCACAUGCAGAAUGCAUUUGUCAUCCUCCAAAUUCCGUUACAUUCGAUGACAACUCUCAAAAUGUUGAUGACAACUCUGACUACUCUGAAAAUGAUGAUGACAGCUCUGAUGACAACUAAGACAAAGCUUGCACCUUUACUAUCUCCUUUCUCCACUUCUUGUGGGACCAUCUUCACUGCAUUCAAGCAAUGAUGGUUGAGAUUUGAUUUUGUCAUCAAUUGCCCAUAUGACUCAAAUGGGUCUGACUUGUUUUUGGGAUUUGACUCAACUGUUGGAGUUGGGUUUGAUUUGGCUUCCUCUACAAUGGCCGAUCCGUCUACAAACUAUGAUUCUGGCUUCAACCCAUAUCCAUAGUAGAAGAAAAUGAGAACCUCUUGAUCAAAUUUUGAGGAAACAUAGCAAGAUUUGGUUACAGGGCAAGAUAGACUUCAGCUUAUGUCUCGACUCUCUACUGUGACAUUCUCAGUUCUUGUGAACAGGCCCCCAACUGGCAUAUUCAGCAUUAUAGGUGUUUGAGUAAAGUGGAUUGUAGGAGCAACAGGAUUUCUUUUCUGGUUUCCAGGUGGGAAAGGGAAUUGAGAUUUCACACUUCUUUAUAGACGACCAUAUAUCAUCUUCUUUUGGAGAUGUACAACUGAACUAAGCUAUCUUAGUUGUCUGCUUCUUUUCUUUGAGACUCCCAAAUUAAUAAUGAAAUGGGUUCUAUGGAAGACUAUUGGCAGUUGUUUAAGGCUAUAAGGCAAUAGAACUCAUGGUUGUUGAUGCUCUGUUAAAAACAAAUGAUUAGCUUGACAUUGCAUCCUCAAUUCAUCAACCGGCAGGAUUUUGAAACUUCUAGGUUUUACUUUACAGCACUGGCAUAGUCUCUCUGAAGUGCAGUUAGAUGACUCAAUCUUAAAAAUCAUUGAAAUUUCUGAUGUACAAACUCUAGAGGAAGCAAGAGACAUUAUCCCACGCAUUCGAAGAAG